rnacentral:rRNA from 1 species
ACGGGUGAGUAAUAUAUCGGAACGUACCCUAGAGUGGGGGAUAACGCAGCGAAAGUUGCGCUAAUACCGCAUACGAUCUACGGAUGAAAGUGGGGGAUCGCAAGACCUCAUGCUCAUGGAGCGGCCGAUAUCUGAUUAGCUAGUUGGUGGGGUAAAGGCCUACCAAGGCAUCGAUCAGUAGCUGGUCUGAGAGGACGACCAGCCACACUGGAACUGAGACACGGUCCAGACUCCUACGGGAGGCAGCAGUGGGGAAUUUUGGACAAUGGGCGCAAGCCUGAUCCAGCAAUGCCGCGUGAGUGAAGAAGGCCUUCGGGUUGUAAAGCUCUUUUGUCAGGGAAGAAACGGUGAGGGCUAAUAUCCUUUGCUAAUGACGGUACCUGAAGAAUAAGCACCGGCUAACUACGUGCCAGCAGCCGCGGUAAUACGUAGGGUGCAAGCGUUAAUCGGAAUUACUGGGCGUAAAGCGUGCGCAGGCGGUUAUGUAAGUCAGAUGUGAAAUCCCCGGGCUCAACCUGGGAAUGGCAUUUGAGACUGCAUGGCUAGAGUGUGUCAGAGGGGGGUAGAAUUCCACGUGUAGCAGUG